CCACUUUAUAUUUUAAUACCCCACGUGGUACUGCAGGCCCCCCACAAGAUCCAGGACUAAAGAAGAAGUUGAUCAUCUUUGUCACCUUUGAUCAUCUCUAUCUCAGAACAUUCCUCAUAGCUCUAUCCAGAGAGGACAGAGGGUGUGCUGAUUCUGUCUGCGAAAGACUGGGACAAGGAGAAAAAUAUUUGAAGAAAUAGCCAAAGUUUCCCCAAGUCUGGUGACCAACAUAAAUUACAGAUCCAAAUAAAACCCAAUAAAGUCCAAGUAGGAUGAACACAAAGAGAACUACAUCUUGGAACAUCAAAAUCAAACUCUGAAAACUAAAGAUAAGGAGACAACAAUAAAAGUAAGGGGAAGAAAACCCAGAACAAAAAACCAACAGAAAGACACAUUACCUCUUUGGACUGAAUGCUUGCGUCCCCUCCAAAAUUCAUUUGUAGAAAUCUAAUUUGCAAUGGGAUGGUAUUUGUAAGUAGAGCCUUUGGGAAGUGAUUAACCUAUGAAGGUAGAGCCUUGAUGAAUAAGUUUAGUGCUGUUAUUAAAAAACAAACAACAACAACAAACUAGUCAGUUAGCUGGCUUGUGCUCUUUCCAACAUGUAGAGAUACAAUGAGAAGUCAUCUACCCACAACCAGGAAGCAAGUGGAUACCAGAUCUGUAUGAGUCUUAACUUAGGCUCCCCAGCCUCCAAAAUUUUGAAAAUAAAUGUCUGUUGUUAAAGCCACCAGUCUGUAUUUUUUCAGCAGUCCAAACUAAGACAAUUCAUAUGGGAGAAAA
rnacentral:lncRNA from 1 species